GGGAAUCUACCCUUUUCUACGGAAUAACGCAGGGAAACUUGUGCUAAUACCGUAUACGCCCUUCGGGGGAAAGAUUUAUCGGGAAAGGAUGAGCCCGCGUUGGAUUAGCUAGUUGGUGGGGUAAAGGCCUACCAAGGCGACGAUCCAUAGCUGGUCUGAGAGGAUGAUCAGCCACAUUGGGACUGAGACACGGCCCAAACUCCUACGGGAGGCAGCAGUGGGGAAUAUUGGACAAUGGGCGCAAGCCUGAUCCAGCCAUGCCGCGUGAGUGAUGAAGGCCCUAGGGUUGUAAAGCUCUUUCACCGGUGAAGAUAAUGACGGUAACCGGAGAAGAAGCCCCGGCUAACUUCGUGCCAGCAGCCGCGGUAAUACGAAGGGGGCUAGCGUUGUUCGGAAUUACUGGGCGUAAAGCGCACGUAGGCGGACAUUUAAGUCAGGGGUGAAAUCCCGGGGCUCAACCCCGGAACUGCCUUUGAUACUGGGUGUCUAGAGUAUGGAAGAGGUGAGUGGAAUUCCGAGU
rnacentral:rRNA from 1 species